GCGUUCAUAGCUCAGUUGGUUAGAGCACCACCUUGAAUGGUGGGGGUCGUUGGUUCGAGUCCAAUUGAACGCACCA
rnacentral:tRNA from 1 species